UGACGAGUGGCGGACGGGUGAGUAAUGUCUGGGAAACUGCCUGAUGGAGGGGGAUAACUACUGGAAACGGUAGCUAAUACCGCAUAACGUCGCAAGACCAAAGAGGGGGACCUUCGGGCCUCUUGCCAUCGGAUGUGCCCAGAUGGGAUUAGCUAGUAGGUGGGGUAACGGCUCACCUAGGCGACGAUCCCUAGCUGGUCUGAGAGGAUGACCAGCCACACUGGAACUGAGACACGGUCCAGACUCCUACGGGAGGCAGCAGUGGGGAAUAUUGCACAAUGGGCGCAAGCCUGAUGCAGCCAUGCCGCGUGUAUGAAGAAGGCCUUCGGGUUGUAAAGUACUUUCAGCGGGGAGGAAGGGAGUAAAGUUAAUACCUUUGCUCAUUGACGUUACCCGCAGAAGAAGCACCGGCUAACUCCGUGCCAGCAGCCGCGGUAAUACGGAGGGUGCAAGCGUUAAUCGGAAUUACUGGGCGUAAAGCGCACGCAGGCGGUUUGUUAAGUCAGAUGUGAAAUCCCCGGGCUCAACCUGGGA
rnacentral:rRNA from 1 species